CAUAGGUUAAUGAGGCGAACCGGGGGAACUGAAACAUCUAAGUACCCCGAGGAAAAGAAAUCAACCGAGAUUCCCCCAGUAGCGGCGAGCGAACGGGGAGGAGCCCAGAGCCUGAAUCAGCAUGUGUGUUAGUGGAAGCGUCUGGAAAGGCGCGCGAUACAGGGUGACAGCCCCGUACACAAAAGCGCAUGUGCUGUGAGCUCGAUGAGUAGGGCGGGACACGUGGUAUCCUGUCUGAAUAUGGGGGGACCAUCCUCCAAGGCUAAAUACUCCUGACUGACCGAUAGUGAACCAGUACCGUGAGGGAAAGGCGAAAAGAACCCCGGCGAGGGGAGUGAAAAAGAACCUGAAACCGUGUACGUACAAGCAGUGGGAGCACCCUUUGGGGUGUGACUGCGUACCUUUUGUAUAAUGGGUCAGCGACUUAUAUUCUGUAGCAAGGUUAACCGUAUAGGGGAGCCGGAGGGAAACCGAGUCUUAACCGGGCGUUAAGUUGCAGGGUAUAGACCCGAAACCCGGUGAUCUAGCCAUGGGCAGGUUGAAGGUUGGGUAACACUAACUGGAGGACCGAACCGACUAAUGUUGAAAAAUUAGCGGAUGACCUGUGGCUGGGGGUGAAAGGCCAAUCAAACCGGGAGAUAGCUGGUUCUCCCCGAAAGCUAUUUAGGUAGCGCCUCGUGAAUUCAUCUCCGGGGGUAGAGCACUGUUUCGGCUAGGGGGCCAUCCCGGCUUACCAACCCGAUGCAAACUGCGAAUACCGGAGAAUGUUAUCACGGGAGACACACGGCGGGUGCUAACGUCCGUCGUGAAGAGGGAAACAACCCAGACCGCCAGCUAAGGUCCCAAAGUCAUGGUUAAGUGGGAAACGAUGUGGGAAGGCCCAGACAGCCAGGAUGUUGGCUUAGAAGCAGCCAUCAUUUAAAGAAAGCGUAAUAGCUCACUGGUCGAGUCGGCCUGCGCGGAAGAUGUAACGGGGCUAAACCAUGCAC
rnacentral:rRNA from 1 species